CAACAAUGAGUUACCACUAAACACAUACUAGAAUGGCCAACAUGCAGAACACUGAUGACACCAAAUGCUGGUGAGGAUGUGGAGCAACAGGAACUCACAUUUAUUGCUGUGCAGAGUUGUGGAAUAAUGAAUCAUGGAUGAAAAGUAGAAACAGGAGAUUGACAAAUUGAAGAGAGAUGGUGACAAGACAUGGGACAAGUACAGACAGCAUCUCUGUGAAUUAGAAGAGCAAGGUCUGGCCAAAAGGGAGCUCCGUCUGCCUCCAGGGGUCAGUCUCUCCUUGAAAAUCCUUCCCCGAAUCGCCUGAAGCCACUUCUGAGGAUCGCAGACUUUCAGAUACUCUUAUGGGUUGAGUCAUGUGCCUCUAAAAAGAUGGUUGAAGUCCUAAAUCCAGGUAUCUCAGAGUUUGACCUUGUUUGGAAACAAGAUUGUUGCAGAUGUAAUUAGUCAAGAUGAUGUCAUGCUGGAGUAGCAUAAACGCCUAACCCAAUCUGACUGGUGUCCCUGUAAGAAGACAGCCAUACAAAGACAAAGACACACAGGAGAACAUCACGUGAUGACGAAGGUAGGGAUUGCAGUCAUGCAGUUGAGAAUCAGAGGACGCCAAGGAACACCAAAGUAG